UACGUAGGGGGCUAGCGUUGUCCGGAAUCAUUGGGCGUAAAGAGCGCGUAGGCGGCCAGGCAAGUCCGGUGUGAAAGUCACAGGCUCAACCUGUGAAUGCCGCUGGAAACUGUCUGGCUAGAGUCCGGAAGGGGCGAGUGGAAUUCCUGGUGUAGCGGUGAAAUGCGCAGAUAUCAGGAGGAACACCUAUGGCGAAGGCAGCUCGCUGGGACGUUACUGACGCUGAGACGCGAAAGCGUGGGGAGCAAACAGG
rnacentral:rRNA from 1 species